AACGAACGCUGGCGGCAUGCCUAACACAUGCAAGUCGAACGAGACCUUCGGGUCUAGUGGCGCACGGGUGCGUAACGCGUGGGAAUCUACCCUUGGGUUCGGAAUAACAGUUAGAAAUGGCUGCUAAUACCGGAUGAUGAAGUAAGUCCAAAGAUUUAUCGCACAAGGAUGAGCCCGCGUAAGAUUAGCUUGUUGGUGGGGUAAUGGCCUACCAAGGCGCCGAUCUUUAGCUGGUCUGAGAGGAUGAUCAGCCACACUGGGACUGAGACACGGCCCAGACUCCUACGGGAGGAAGCAGUGGGGAAUAUUGGACAAUGGGCGAAAGCCUGAUCCAGCAAUGCCGCGUGAGUGAUGAAGGCCUUAGGGUUGUAAAGCUCUUUUACCAGGGAUGAUAAUGACAGUACCUGGAGAAUAAGCUCCGGCUAACUCCGUGCCAGCCGCCGCCGUAA
rnacentral:rRNA from 1 species